GACGAACGCUGGCGGCGUGCUUAACACAUGCAAGUCGAGCGGCGCGGCGAACGGGUGAGUAACGCGUGAGUAACUGCCCCCCUCCCUGGGAUAACAGUUGGAAACGGGUGCUAAUAGCGGAUAGCGGGGGAUGACUCGCGUCCUAUCAGCUUGUUGGUGGGGUAGUGGACUACCAAGGCGACGCCGGGAAGCCGGCCUGAGAAGGCGAACGGCCACAUUGGGCUGAGAGACGGCACAAACUGCUACGGGAGGCAGCGGUGGGGAAUAUUGCACAAUGGGGGCAAGCCUGAUGCAGCAACGCGCGGUCGUAAUGACGGCCUUCGGGUUGUAAACCGCUUUCAGCCAUGACGCGGUAGUGGCAGAAGAAGCACCGGCUAACUACGUGCCAGCAGCCGCGGUAAUUC
rnacentral:rRNA from 1 species